GAUGAACGCUGGCGGCGUGCCUAACACAUGCAAGUCGAGCGAUUCUCUUCGGAGAAAAGCGGCGGACGGGUGAGUAACGCGUGGGUAACCUGCCCUGUACACACGGAUAACAUACCGAAAGGUAUGCUAAUACGAGAUAAUAUGCUUUUAUCGCAUGGUAUAAGUAUCAAAGCUCCGGCGGUACAGGAUGGACCCGCGUCUGAUUAGCUAGUUGGUGAGGUAACGGCUCACCAAGGCGACGAUCACUAGCCGACCUGAGAGGGUGAUCGGCCACAUUGGAACUGAGACACGGUCCUAACUUCUACGGGAGGCAGCAGUGGGGAAUAUUGCACCAUGGGCGAAAACCUGAUGCUCCAACGC
rnacentral:rRNA from 1 species